rnacentral:rRNA from 1 species
UAGGGAAUCUUCCGCAAUGGACGCAAGUCUGACGGAGCAACGCCGCGUGAGUGAAGAAGGAUUUCGGUUCGUAAAACUCUGUUGUUAGAGAAGAACAGCGCAUAGAGUAACUGUUAUGCGUGUGACGGUAUCUAACCAGAAAGCCACGGCUAACUACGUGCCAGCAGCCGCGGUAAUACGUAGGUGGCAAGCGUUGUACGGAUUUAUUGGGCGUAAAGCGAGCGCAGGCGGUCAAUUAAGUCUGAUGUGAAAGCCCCCGGCUCAACCGGGGAGGGUCAUUGGAAACUGGUUGACUUGAGUGCAGAAGAGGGGAGUGGAAUUCCAUGUGUAGCGGUGAAAUGCGUAGAUAUAUGGAGGAACACCAGUGGCGAAGGCGACUCUCUGGUCUGUAACUGACGCGGAGGCUCGAAAGCGUGGGUAGCAAACAGG